rnacentral:rRNA from 1 species
AGGAAUAUUGGUCAAUGGACGCAAGUCUGAACCAGCCAUGCCGCGUGGAGGCUGAAGGUCCUCUGGAUUGUAAACUUCUUUUAUCUGGGACGAAACACUUCUUUUCUAAGAGGCCUGACGGUACCAGAUGAAUAAGCACCGGCUAACUCCGUGCCAGCAGCCGCGGUAAUACGGAGGGUGCAAGCGUUAUCCGGAUUCACUGGGUUUAAAGGGUGCGUAGGUGGGUAUGUAAGUCAGUGGUGAAAUCCCCGAGCUUAACUUGGGAACUGCCAUUGAUACUAAAGGUCUUGAAUUAUCUGGAUGUAAGCGGAAUAUGUCAUGUAGCGGUAAAAUGCUUAGAUAUGGCAUAGAACACCAAUGGCGAAGGCAGCUUACUACAUAUAAAUGGACGCUGAGGCACGAAAGCGUGGGGA